UACGUAGGGUGCAAGCGUUGUCCGGAAUUAUUGGGCGUAAAGGGCUCGUAGGCGGUCCGUCACGUCGGGAGUGAAAACUUGGGGCUUAACCCCAAGCCUGCUUCCGAUACGGGCGGACUAGAGGUAGGCAGGGGAGAACGGAAUUCCUGGUGUAGCGGUGAAAUGCGCAGAUAUCAGGAGGAACACCGGUGGCGAAGGCGGGCACCUGGGCUAACACUGACGCUGAUGCGCGAAAGCUAGGGGAGCAAACAGG
rnacentral:rRNA from 1 species